UUGCACGCUGGCGGCAUGCUUUACCCAUGCCAGUCGCACGGCAGCGCGGGCUUCGGCCUGGCGGCGAGUGGCGAACGGGUGAGUAAUGCAUCGGAACGUGCCCAGUAGUGGGGGAUAGCCCGGCGAAAGCCGGAUUAAUACCGCAUACGACCUGAGGGUGAAAGCGGGGGACCGAAAGGCCUCGCGCUAUUGGAGCGGCCGAUGUCGGAUUAGCUAGUUGGUGGGGUAAAGGCUUACCAAGGCGACGAUCCGUAGCUGGUCUGAGAGGACGACCAGCCACACUGGGACUGAGACACGGCCCAGACUCCUACGGGAGGCAGCAGUGGGGAAUUUUGGACAAUGGGGGCAACCCUGAUCCAGCCAUGCCGCGUGCGGGAAGAAGGCCUUCGGGUUGUAAACCGCUUUUGUUCGGGAAGAAAUCCUCUGGGCUAAUACCCCGGGGGGAUGACGGUACCGGAAGAAUAAGCACCGGCUAACUACGUG
rnacentral:rRNA from 1 species